CUGUGACUUGUGCUGAACAGAAAGUGGUGAAAGUGUCAUGCUAUGACAAUUGAACCCUGGUCUCCAGCAAUCAUUUGGCUUCUGUUUUUCUCCUGAGAUUCCAGCAGGUAUCGCUAAGCCUCAGGACCUGGCAAUAUUUACAAAUCCUGUUAAACCCAUGGACCACCCAAGGUCACACUUUAUCCUUGAACUCUGGACUCUGCAGUUUGCAAUUAAGAAACAAACCAAAGACCAAACAAAAUAAAGUAAAACCUUCUGCUGGGCUGGCGAUGGAUCCAUGGUACUGAAAAAUAGCUCCAUUGAACUUCUGCCAGAGACUGUGGGUCACAGUCUCCAUGAGCUUGGGUUUUGUCAUCUGCAAAUGAAGUAAUGAUAGCUAAAUUCUUCCCUGUGGCUUUGAGGUUAGAAUGCUGUGUAUGUAAUGACGUUAUGUAAAGGACUAAGGGACUCUUGGGAAAGAACUCAAGGGAACAGCAAAUAAAGUUAAGCUCUGAUGGCC